rnacentral:rRNA from 1 species
AAUGAACGUUGGCGGCGUGGAUUAGGCAUGCAAGUCGGACGCCCCGCAAGGGGAGUGGCGCAAGGGUGAGUAAGGCGACGGUAACCAACCCCAUGGUUGGGCAUAGCCGAGGGAAACCUCGGGUAAUUCCCAGCGACGUCGAGGUGUGGCAUCACACUUCGACCAAAGAUUCAUCGCCGUGGGACGGGCCGUCGUGGUAUUAGCUAGUUGGUGGGGUGACGGCCCACCAAGGCCGCGAUGCCUACCGGGUGUGCGAGCAUGGCCCGGCACACUGGGACUGAGACACUGCCCAGACUCCUACGGGAGGCUGCAGUCGAGAAUCUUCGGCAAUGGGCGCAAGCCUGACCGAGCGACGCCGCGUGGAGGACGAAGGCCUUCGGGUUGUAAACUCCUGUCGAGGGGGAGGAAGCCUUCGGGUUGACCGAUCCCUGGAGGAAGGACGGGCUAAGUUCGUGCCAGCCGCCGCAGUAAAAC